rnacentral:rRNA from 1 species
CCUACGGGAGGCAGCAGUGGGGAAUAUUGCGCAAUGGGCGAAAGCCUGACGCAGCGACGCCGCGUGAGGGAUGAAGGUCUUCGGAUCGUAACCCUCUGUCCGCAGGGAAGAACGUUCACUUUGCUAAUCAGCAGUGAAUUGCCUGUACCUGCAAAGGCAGCACCGGCUAACUCCGUGCCAGCAGCCGCGGUAAUACGGAGGGUGCGAGCGUUAAUCGGAAUUACUGGGCGUAAAGCGCUCGUAGGCGGUAUGUCAAGUCAAGGGUGAAAUCCCCGCGCUCAACGUGGGAACUGCCUUUGAAACUGGCAAACUGGAGUGUGUGAGAGGAUAGUGGAAUUCCAGGUGUAGGAGUGAAAUACGUAGAUAUCUGGAGGAACAUCAGUGGCGAAGGCGACUAGCUGGAACAUAACUGACGCUGAGGAGCGAAAGCGUGGGUAGCAAACAGGAUUAGAUACCCGGGUAGUC